rnacentral:sRNA from 1 species
UCCAAUAAUUCUGUUCUCUUCCCACAUACUUUCUUCCUGGCUGGCAUCCCAGGAUUGACUGCCACCCACAUUUGGAUCUCACUUCCCUUUUGCUUUAUGUUUUUCCUGUCAUUGACUGGGAAUGGUGUCCUGCUUUUUCUCAUCCGGACAGAAUGCAGCCUUCACCAGCCCAUGUUUCUUUUUCUUGCCAUGCUCUCCUUUGUCGACUUGGUCCUCUCUCUCUCCACACUGCCUAAGAUGCUGGCCAUUUUCUGGUUUGGUGCUAUAGCCAUCAGCUCCCAUUCCUGUCUUUCCCAGAUGUUCUUCAUCCAUGCAUUCUCUGCCAUGGAGUCAGGGGUGCUAGUGGCCAUGGCCCUGGACCGCUCUGUGGCCAUCUGUAACCCACUGCGUUAUGCAACCAUCCUUCCAUCUGUUGUUGUUGCCAAGAUUGGAGGCCUGGUGGUGUUGUGAGGGGUGGGAUUGACCAUCUCCUUUCCAAGCUUGGCCCAUAGGCUGCACUACCAUGGCUCACACAUGAUUGCCUAUACCUUCUGUGAGCAUAUGGCAGUGGUGAAGCUUGCCUGUGAGGCCACCACUGUGGACAACCUCUAUGCCUUUGUGGUGGCAAUCUUUCUUGGUGGGGGGGAUGUGGUCUUUAUUGCCUAUUCUUAUGGGCAGAUUGUGAGGACUGUAAUGCAUUUUCCUUCACCUGAGGAACGUGCGAAAGCAGGCAGCACAUGUACAGCCCAUGUCUGUGUCAUCCUCUUCUUCUAUGGACCGGGCUUUCUUUCUGUGGUCAUGCAGCGCUUUGGAGCACCCACAGCUUCUGCUGCCAAGGUCAUCCUUGCCAAUCUCUACUUGCUCUUUCCCCCAGCACUGGAUCCCAUUGUCUAUGGCAUGAAGACCAAGCAGAUCUAGGAGCGGCUGUUGAUGAUU